UUUUUAUAUGAAUGGGUGAAAGCCCGCAGCCAUGGAAAUCCGGUCUGCCUCUGGGGGCAUUCUCUGGGUACCGGUAUUGCCACUAAUGCAGCCAGGAAAUUGCAAGAAAAAGGGAAUCCAGCUGACGCUGUGAUCUUGGAGGGCCCGUAUACCAACAUCCGGGCUGCUGGAGCUUAUCACCCUUUCGUAAAGGUCU